AGCGAACGCUGGCGGCAGGCCUAACACAUGCAAGUCGAACGGAUCCUUCGGGGUUAGUGGCGGACGGGUGAGUAACACGUGGGAACGUGCCUUUUGGUUCGGAACAACUCAGGGAAACUUGAGCUAAUACCGAAUGUGCCCUUCGGGGGAAAGAUUUAUCGCCAUUAGAGCGGCCCGCGUCUGAUUAGCUUGUUGGUGAGGUAAUGGCUCACCAAGGCGACGAUCAGUAGCUGGUCUGAGAGGAUGAUCAGCCACAUUGGGACUGAGACACGGCCCAAACUCCUACGGGAGGCAGCAGUGGGGAAUCUUGCGCAAUGGGCGAAAGCCUGACGCAGCCAUGCCGCGUGAAUGAUGAAGGUCUUAGGAUUGUAAAAUUCUUUCACCGGGGACGAUAAUGACGGUACCCGGAGAAGAAGCCCCGGCUAACUUCGUGCCAGCCGCCGCCGUAAUAC
rnacentral:rRNA from 1 species